rnacentral:pre_miRNA from 1 species
ACAGUACUCCCUCCAUCCGAAAAUACUUGUCAUCAAAAUGGACAAAAAAGGAUGUAUCUAAAACUAAAAUAUGUCUAGAUACAUUCCCUUUUAUUCAUUUUGAUGACAAGUAUUUUCGGACGGAGGGAGUAUCUA